rnacentral:ribozyme from 1 species
CCUAAGCAUGACUUGCACCUCUACGUGGUGCUUAGGACUAGUAACCUUGAUGGUGAAGCCAAGCAAGU